rnacentral:lncRNA from 1 species
GAUUGGGCUCUACAUUCCAUCUGGAAGAGCUGCAGGGGGUAAUCCAGUUCAAAGUCCUGAGAAGCAGGCUGAAAAGAAGGGACAGUCAAGGAUGGGGGAAGACUCCAACUGAAAAGGGAUGCCUACAGCUGACAAGAGCUAACUGCUCUCACGGCAGAGUCUCUCUCCAGCCAGAUUCCCCAGGGUGACAGAGGAAGCACAGCUGGGGCAGGCUGCUGGGGGAAAAGAGCCUUCUCCCAGGUGGCUGCCACAGCUUGCACCACGGCUUCUCCUUGGGCCAGACCUCAGAAAAGAGACACUGGUCCUCGCAGAGAGCUGUCGCCUGCUGGAAAAGCAAGACCAGGUUGUUGAGCAAAAGCUAUAGCAGCAAAUCCUCGUCUUGUGUGCUUGCAAGAUGCUGGCAAUGCAUCAGGAAAUAGGCUGCCUGUGCCGCCAGCAAGACAAAAGAACUCUGCAGGAACUGAUGGUUGAGGAGCAGCUGAAGAAAGAGUGGGAGGCAAAGUACAUGUGGGCCCCGUGCAAGGCUCAUGGCAAAAGGGAUGGAAGAGAGAGGGCCUGGCAGAAGAUGCAGGCGGAAAUGCAGAGGCUGCAGAGGGGGUGUGCUUCCUCCAUGGCACUCAUGGACCUGAAGAACGCUCUGCAGCUGGUACCAGUGGAGAUGAAGCAUCAGCAUGUCCUCAUCCCUCUCCCUCCAGCGAAGAAGGCUGAGGCAGCUCCCCUCAGCAAAUCAAGUGCCAGCUACCAAUUAGUAUGGAGUGUGCAGGCGGGGAAAGUGAUGGAGAAGAGAAAGGAGGCCUGGAAAAUCACUGGGCUGCGGCGCACUGCCUCUGUCUUGCUUCCGCGAUUGCGCUCUACACACAUUUCUAAUUUCAUUUCAUUAAGAUGUAAUAUUUAUCUUUAUUUCAAUAAUUUUUAUCUUUAUUUCAUUAAGAUUUAAUAAACAAAUAAACGGCUGUUCUACAGUUUUCUUUCCA